AGAACGAACGCUGGCGGCAUGCCUAAUACAUGCAAGUCGAACGAACUCUUCGGAGUUAGUGGCGCACGGGUGCGUAACGCGUGGGAAUCUGCCCCUUGGUUCGGAAUAACAGUUGGAAACGACUGCUAAUACCGGAUGAUGACGAAAGUCCAAAGAUUUAUCGCCAAGGGAUGAGCCCGCGUAGGAUUAGCUAGUUGGUGAGGUAAAGGCUCACCAAGGCAACGAUCCUUAGCUGGUCUGAGAGGAUGAUCAGCCACACUGGGACUGAGACACGGCCCAGACUCCUACGGGAGCAGCAGUAGGGAAUAGUGGACAA
rnacentral:rRNA from 1 species